CUGUCGUCAGCUCGUGUCGUGAGAUGUUGGGUUAAGUCCCGCAACGAGCGCAACCCUUUUCCUUAUUUGCCAGCGGGUUAAGCCGGGAACUUUAAGGAUACUGCCAGUGACAAACUGGAGGAAGGCGGGGACGACGUCAAGUCAUCAUGGCCCUUACGACCAGGGCUACACACGUGCUACAAUGGUAGGUACAGAGGGUUGCUACACAGCGAUGUGAUGCUAAUCUCAAAAAGCCUAUCGUAGUCCGGAUUGGAGUCUGCAACUCGACUCCAUGAAGUCGGA
rnacentral:rRNA from 1 species